rnacentral:rRNA from 1 species
CGGUUGAUCCUGCCGGAGGCCAUUGCUAUUGGAGUCCGACUUAGCCAUGCUAGUUGCACGAGUUUAGACUCGUGGCGUAUAGCUCAGUAACACGUGGCCAAACUAACCUACAGAUCGGGAUAACCUCGGGAAACUGAGGCUAAUACCGAAUACGGCUUCCACGCUGGAAUUGCAGGAAGCUGGAAAUACUACGGUGCUGUAGGAUGUGGCUGCGGCCGAUUAGGUAGACGGUGGGGUAAUGGCCCACCGUGCCAGUAAUCGGUACGGGUCGUGAGAGCGAGAGCCCGGAGACGAUAUCUGAGACAAGAUAUCGGGCCCUACGGGGCGCAGCAGGCGCGAAACCUUUACACUGCACGACAGUGCGAUAGGGGGACUCCGAGUGCGAGGGCAUAGAGCCCUCGCUUUUGUACACCGUAAGGUGGUGUACGAAUAAGAACUGGGCAAGACCGGUGCCAGCCGCCGCGGUAAUACCGGCAGUUCGAGUGAUGGCCGAUAUUAUUGGGCCUAAAGCGUUCGUAGCUGGCCGAUCAAGUCUGUCGGGAAAUCUGUUCGCUUAACGAACAGGCGUCCGGCGGAAACUGGUCGGCUUGGGACCGGAGGACUCGAGGAGUACGUCCGGGGUAGGAGUGAAAUCCCGUAAUCCUGGACGGACUACCGAUGGCGAAAGCACCUCGAGAGCACUGAUCCGACAGUGAGGAACGAAAGCUGGGGUCUCGAACCGGAUUAGAUACCCCGGUAGUC